GGGGCCAUAGCUCAGCUGGUAGAGCGCGGCGAUCGCACCGCCGAGGUCGGGGGUUCGAAUCCCUCUGGCUCCACCA
rnacentral:tRNA from 1 species